rnacentral:rRNA from 1 species
AGUGAACGCUGGCGGUAGGCCUAACACAUGCAAGUCGAACGGCAGCACAGUAAGAGCUUGCUCUUACGGGUGGCGAGUGGCGGACGGGUGAGGAAUACAUCGGAAUCUACUUUUUCGUGGGGGAUAACGUAGGGAAACUUACGCUAAUACCGCAUACGACCUACGGGUGAAAGCAGGGGAUCUUCGGACCUUGCGCGAUUGAAUGAGCCGAUGUCGGAUUAGCUAGUUGGCGGGGUAAAGGCCCACCAAGGCGACGAUCCGUAGCUGGUCUGAGAGGAUGAUCAGCCACACUGGGACUGGGACACGGUCAAGACUCCUACGGGAGGCAGCAGUGGGGAAUAUUGGACAAUGGGCGCAAGCCUGAUCCAGCCAUACCGCGUGGGUGAAGAAGGCCUUCGGGUUGUAAAGCCCUUUUGUUGGGAAAGAAAAGCAGCAGGUUAAUACCCCGCUGUUCUGACGGUACCCAAAGAAUAAGCACCGGCUAACUUCGUG